rnacentral:rRNA from 1 species
GGGCCCGCACAAGCGGAGGAACAUGUGGUUUAAUUCGAUGAUACGCGAGGAACCUUACCCGGGCUUGAAUUGCAGACGAACGCGAUAGAGAUAUCAAGGCCCUUCGGGGCGUCUGUGAAGGUGCUGCAUGGUUGUCGUCAGCUCGUGCCGUGAGGUGUCGGCUUAAGUGCCAUAACGAGCGCAACCCCUCUCCAAAGUUGCCAUCAGGCUAUGCUGGGCACUCUUUGGACACUGCCACCGUAAGGUGUGAGGAAGGUGGGGAUGACGUCAAAUCAGCACGGCCCUUACGUCCGGGGCUACACACGUGUUACAAUGGCGCGUACAGAGGGAAGGCCGCCGGCAACGUCGGUCGAAUCUUGAAAGCGCGCCUCAGUUCGGACUGGAGUCUGCAACCCGACUCCACGAAGCUGGAUUCGCUAGUAAUCGCGCAUCAGCCAUGGCGCGGUGAAUACGUUCCCGGGCCUU